GUCCGCGUGGCGCAAUGGUAGCGCGUUGGACUUCUAUUCUUGCGAGUCUCUGUCCUCGGAUAGGAGUCAUCCAAAGGCUGUGGGUUCGAGCCCCACCGUGGAUG